UCGGAUGUGCCCGCAGGGUGCAUGGCAGACGAGUGAGUAACGCGUGGGGAAUCUACCUCUUUGUGGGGAAUAACGCUCCGAAAGGAGUGGUAAUACCGCAUGAGAUCCAUGGCUGGGAUGCUGUGGAUGAAACCUGGGGACCGCAAGGCCUGGGGCAAGGAGAGGAUCCUGCGUCUGAUUAGCUAGUUGGUGAGGUAAUGGCCCACCAAGGCGACGAUCAGUAGCCGGCCUGAGAGGGUGAUCGGCCACACUGGAACUGAGACACGGUCCAGACUCCUACGGGAGGCAGCAGUGGGGAAUUUUGCGCAAUGGGCGAAAGCCUGACGCAGCAACGCCGCGUGGGUGAUGAAGGUCUUCGGAUCGUAAAACCCUGUCGUCGGGGACGAAGGUGGAGGGGUUAAUAGCCUCUUUGCUUGACGGUACCCGGAGAGGAAGCCCCGGCUAACUCUGUGCCAGCAGCCGCGGUAAUACAGAGGGGGCAAGCGUUAUUCGGAAUUAUUGGGCGUAAAGGGCGCGUAGGCGGCUUUUUAAGUGAGAUGUGUAAUCCCUGAGCUCAACUUGGGAACUGCAUCUCAUACUGGGAGGCUAGAGUACUGGAGAGGGUGGUAGAAUUCCACGUGUAGCGGUGAAAUGCGUAGAGAUGUGGAGGAAUACCAGUGGCGAAGGCGGCCACCUGGACAGUAACUGACGCUGAGGCGCGAAAGUGUGGGUAGCAAAC
rnacentral:rRNA from 1 species